rnacentral:rRNA from 1 species
GGAGUCUGGGCCGUGUCUCAGUCCCAAUGUGGCCGUUCAACCUCUCAGUCCGGCUACUGAUCGUCGACUUGGUGAGCCGUUACCUCACCAACUAUCUAAUCAGACGCGAGCUCAUCUUUCAGCGAUAAAUCUUUGAUAUAUCUGUCAUGCGGCAAAUAUAUGUUAUGCGGUAUUAUCAGUCGUUUCCAACUGCUAUCCCCCUCUGAAAGGCAGAUUGCUCACGUGUUACUCACCCGUCCGCCACUAAGUUUUAAAAAGCAAGCUCUCUAAAACUCCGUUCGACUUGCAUGUGUUAAGCGUGCCGCCAGCGUUCGUCCUGAGCCAUGAUCAAACUACU